rnacentral:rRNA from 1 species
UCUCCUCCCAAAGCGUAACGGAGGAGCACGAAGGUUAGCUAAUCCUGGUCGGACAUCAGGAGGUUAGUGCAAUGGCAUAAGCUAGCUUGACUGCGAGCGUGACGGCGCGAGCAGGUGCGAAAGCAGGUCAUAGUGAUCCGGUGGUUCUGAAUGGAAGGGCCAUCGCUCAACGGAUAAAAGGUACUCCGGGGAUAACAGGCUGAUACCGCCCAAGAGUUCAUAUCGACGGCGGUGUUUGGCACCUCGAUGUCGGCUCAUCACAUCCUGGGGCUGAAGUAGGUCCCAAGGGUAUGGCUGUUCGCCAUUUAAAGUGGUACGCGAGCUGGGUUUAGAACGUCGUGAGACAGUUCGGUCCCUAUCUGCCGUGGGCGCUGGAGAAUUGAGGGGGGCUGCUCCUAGUACGAGAGGACCGGAGUGGACGCAUCACUGGUGUUCGGGUUGUCAUGCCAAUGGCACUGCCCGGUAGCUAAAUGCGGAAGAGAUAAGUGCUGAAAGCAUCUAAGCACGAAACUUGCCCCGAGAUGAGUUCUCCCUGAGACUU